UGUUCGUUGUAUUGACCGACUGAGGAAGGAGGUUUUGUCGCCCUUGAGAAAAACUAUGGCACCAAGGGGCUGGGAACCUGCCAACCGGUGGGGUUAUAGAGCGGAGUACAAACGAGAGCAACUGGCUGCAGCCAAUGAGAUUGAUCCCGACGAUGCUGUGCUGCUUCCGCAUGACAUAUUAAGCUAUAUCAAGUAUCCCGAGCUCGAGCAAGAGGCUGAUGUUAAGUGGAAAAAAAUGUUCGAGGUCUACUCAAAGCAGGGGAAGCUGAAGAAUGGGUAGGCUGUGUGUGAUGUCGACAACACCUUGUCGGCGGGUUUGGCUUUAGGGCUUUUGUUGCCUCAGUUGAGUGACGAGCCGUGGAAAGGAAAGGUGGUCGCUUACACAAAAACCCUUGGCGGCAUUCAAUACAAGAUGAUGAUCUUAAUUCGAGGGCCAAAUAUAUGCAGACUUUGAUCAAAAGCCAGGACUGGACGGCUGAUUUCGGGAAGGUGUUCGAUGUGAUUCUAGAAGAGGCAGUGAAUGCGAAUUUGAAGCCAGAUAAGAUGGUCAAGAAGGUGCUUGCCUAGACGACAUACAAACACUUUCCCGAAAUACGGACCAAGUAUAAGAAGGGGUAUGGAGAUGUGGUGCCACACCUAGUCAUUUGGAAUAUGAUCAAACCUGAGUAUUCGGCUGGGCAUUGUAGAGAACCAGAACCAAGGGUGACGUUGUUAAGUCGCUUCUCGUACAAGCUGCUCGAGUCCUUCUUCGAAAAUUAUGGUGACAUCGGCCCCAACCAUGUCAUAGAAGCUGCUGUAUCUGCCCCAGCCUAUCAAACUCUUGCAGUAGUCGACCGACUGACUCGCACAGAUCACUGGUGUGAAUGUGUUCAUUUAUAUAUUUCUUGGGUCGUAAAAGUUCCUCUCCAGACCAUUGGAAAUGAUGCUCGUGAGGAAUCGCCACCACCAACGGAACCUGUAGACUUGGACUGUCAGAUUCUGACUCAACCCGAGUGGUGCCGGUGCUGAGAAGCUCACCGAGAGCAGCCCCGUACCGCCGCUGCCUUCUCCAUUGUUUGGGGAAAAUCUAUCGGAGAAGAUAAGGACUCAUCUUCUCCAAAUUAUCACUGUUUUAUUACUGUAUCUUUAAUCAUUCAUGACCACUACAUUCAUUAUUUAAAUGUUUAGAGUGAAACUUUAAUCAUUCAAGGCAUGGUACAAAUACAGAGUGUAACAUAUACCCGGUAUCUCACUGUCUGGAAAAUAAGAAGAGGAUUCUCUUUCCAUUUUCUUUAGUUUUUCUUUUCACAUUCUUUAUUUUAUUUUUAUCUUUUUAUAAAAAAUUAAUAUAAAAUAUUAACAUGAUUUAAUUGAUUGUUCAAAUAGAGGGAGAGAAAGAAAUGAAAAAAGAAGAAAGGAGAGUGUCUUACUCCGAAGAUAAGAGCAUUUGUAUCUUCCUUUACAGCUCAUUGUUUAAUAUUUUAUUAUUAUGUUGACCUAAAACAUAUCACAUCACAUACCAUUUUAUUAUUCACCUAAAACCCUCUUUAAUCCCUACACCCACUACAUCAUUUUGAGUAUUACUGUAUUAUUGCAACGACAAUUUACAAGAGUAAGCAUUACUUGAUGAACACCCACUACAAGAAUAAGCAUUUCUGAUUAAAUUAUUAUUUUUGAUAAACCCAUUUAGAAUCUGAUCUGGGUUUUGCCUGGAUUCCGGAUUCCAGGGUAAAAACCUUGAAACUUAAAGGUUGGUUUGAUCUGGGUUUUCCAAGUAAGUUCUGCAAUUUAUGAACUUUCAUUACAUAAAACACUUGAUUAAUUUAUUAUUAUGUGAUUUACUGCCUAAUCUUUGUGUUGGUUCAAAUUUUGGGGCAGAGAAUCUGCCCCGCCACGUCGGUAGUGAGGGGUUUCGCGUCUUUGGCGAAAGAGGUAAUAUGACGCCUACCAUCAUCUAAUCUUUGGCAUUUAUAAUCCAUGUGAUUGCUUAACAAAAAAUUUGUGUUUUUUGCUUUUUCAGAAGAUGAAUUUUUGUAUAACAUAUAAAUCUUAUAAACAUUCUACCCAUUGUUUAGUUUAA